rnacentral:rRNA from 1 species
CCUACGGGGGGCUGCAGUGGGGAAUAUUGCGCAAUGGGCGAAAGCCUGACGCAGCGACGCCGCGUGAGGGAUGAAGGUCUUCGGAUCGUAAACCUCUGUCAGCAGGGAAGAACGGUCACGGGGCUAAUCAGCAGUGAAUUGACGGUACCGGCAAAGGAAGCACCGGCUAACUCCGUGCCAGCAGCCGCGGUAAGACGGAGGGUGCGAGCGUUAAUCGGAAUUCCUGGGCGUAAAGCGCUCGUAGGCGGUAUGUCAAGUCAAGGGUGAAAUCCCCGCGCUCAACGUGGGAACUUCCUUUGAAACUGGCAACCUGGAGUGUGUGCGAGGCUAGUGGCAUUCCCGGUGUA